UUGGAGGGCAAGUCUGGUGCCAGCAGCCGCGGUAAUUCCAGCUCCAAUAGCGUAUAUUAAAGUUGUUGCAGUUAAAAAGCUCGUAGUUGAAUUUCGGGGUCAGUAGGUUGGUCGUGCCACAGGUAUGAACUGGCCUCACUGAUUCCUCCUUCCUGAUGAACCGUAAUGCCAUUAAUUUGGUGUUGCGGGGAGACUGGACUGUUACUUUGAAAAAAUUAGAGUGUUUAAAGCAGGCUAACGCUUGAAUACAUUAGCAUGGAAUAAUGAAAUAGGACGUUCGGUCUUAUUUUGUUGGUUUCUAAGAUUGACGUAAUGAUUAAUAGGGAUAGUUGGGGGCAUUAGUAUUCAAUUGUCAGAGGUGAAAUUCUUGGAUUUAUUGAAGACUAACUACUGCGAAAGCAUUUGCCAAGGAUGUUUUCAUUAAUCAAGAACGAAAGUUAGGGGAUCGAAGACGAUCAGAUACCGUCGUAGUCUUAACCAUAAACUAUGCCGACUAGGGAUCGGAUGACGUUAAUUUUUUAAUGACUCAUUCGGCGCCUUACGG
rnacentral:rRNA from 1 species